rnacentral:rRNA from 1 species
UGGGGAAUUUUGGACAAUGGGCGCAAGCCUGAUCCAGCCAUGCCGCGUGCGGGAAGAAGGCCUUCGGGUUGUAAACCGCUUUCGGCCGGAACGAAAUCGCCCGGGUGAACAUCCCGGGUGGAUGACGGUACCGGAAGAAGAAGCACCGGCUAACUACGUGCCAGCAGCCGCGGUAAUACGUAGGGUGCGAGCGUUAAUCGGAAUUACUGGGCGUAAAGCGUGCGCAGGCGGUCUCGUAAGACAGGUGUGAAAUCCCCGGGCUCAACCUGGGAACUGCGCUUGUGACUGCGAGGCUGGAGUGUGGCAGAGGGAGGUGGAAUUCCACGUGUAGCAGUGAAAUGCGUAGAGAUGUGGAGGAACACCGAUGGCGAAGGCAGCCUCCUGGGCCAGCACUGACGCUCAUGCACGAACGCGUGGGGAGCAAACAGG